rnacentral:rRNA from 1 species
AUUGAACGCUGGCGGCAGGCCUAACACAUGCAAGUCGAGCGAGCGGCGGACGGGUGAGUAAUGUAUGGGGAACUGCCCGAUGGAGGGGGAUAACUACUGGAAACGGUAGCUAAUACCGCAUACCAUCGGAUGUACCCAGAUGGGAUUAGCUAGUAGGUGGGGUAAAGGCUCACCUAGGCGACGAUCCCUAGCUGGUCUGAGAGGAUGACCAGAAAACCUGGAACGUAUACACGGUACAGACUCCGACGGGAGGAAGAAGUUGGGAAUAGUGACAAUGUGACGAAAGUCUGAUGCAGCAAAGGCGUGUGUGUGAAGAAGGCUUUCGGGUCGUAAAGCACUUACAGUGGGGAGGCGUUACCAGAAGAAGAAGCACCGGCUGACUCCGUGCCAGCAGCCGCGGUAAGUC